UACAGAGGGUGCAAGCGUUAAUCGGAAUUACUGGGCGUAAAGCGAGCGUAGUCGGUUAUUUAAGUCGGAUGUGAAAUCCCCGGGCUCAACCUGGGAAUUGCAUUCGAUACUGGAUAGCUAGAGUUCGGCAGAGGGAAGCGGAAUUUCUGGUGUAGCGGUGAAAUGCGUAGAUAUCCGGAAGAACACCGGAGGCGAAGGCGGCUUGCUGGGCUUGGUCUGACGCUGAGGCGCGAAAGCGUGGGGAGCGAACAGG
rnacentral:rRNA from 1 species